rnacentral:rRNA from 1 species
GACGAACGCUGGCGGCGUGCCUAAUACAUGCAAGUCGAACGCAGUGGGGACGGGUGAGUAACACGUGGGUAACCUCCCAUCAGAGGGGAUAACACUUGGAAACAGGUGCUAAACCGAUACUGAUGGAUGGACCCGCGGUGCAUUAGCUAGUUGGUGAGGUAACGGAUCACCAAGGCAACGAUGCAUAGCCGCACUGAGAGGUGGAUCGGCCAAACGGGGAAUGAGAUACGGCCCAGACUCCUACGGGAUGCAGCAGUAGGGAAUCUUCGGGAAUGGACGAAAGUCUGACCGAGCAACGCCGCGUGAGUGAAGAAGGUUUUCGGAACGUAAAACACUGUUGUUAGAGAAGCGGUAUCUAACCAGAAAGCCACGGCUAACUACGUGCCAGCAGCCGCGGUAAUAC